rnacentral:rRNA from 1 species
CGAGUGAAGCGGCAAGAGCUCAAAUUUGAAAGCUGGCCCCCUCGGGGUCCGCAUUGUAAUUUGCAGAGGAUGCUUCGGAAGUGGCCCCCAUCUAAGUGCUCUGGAACGGGCCGUCAUAGAGGGUGAGAAUCCCGUAUGGGAUGGGGUGUCCGCGACCAUGUGAAGCUCCUUCAACGAGUCGAGUUGUUUGGGAAUGCAGCUCUAAAUGGGUGGUAAAUUUCAUCUAAAGCUAAAUAUUGGCCGGAGACCGAUAGCGCACAAGUAGAGUGAUCGAAAGAUGAAAAGCACUUUGAAAAGAGAGUUAAAAAGCACGUGAAAUUGUUGAAAGGGAAGCGCUUGCGACCAGACUCGCCUGCGGGGUUCAGCCGGUAUUCGUACCGGUGUACUUCCCCGUGGGCGGGCCAGCGUCGGUUUGGGCGGCCGGUCAAAGGCCCUCGGAAUGUAACGCCUCUCGGGGCGUCUUAUAGCCGAGGGUGCCAUGCGGCCAGCCCGGACCGAGGAACGCGCUUCGGCACGGACGCUGGCAUAAUGGUCGUAAGCGACCCGUCUUGAAACACGGACCAAGGAGUCUAACAUCUACGCGAGUGUUCGGGUGUCAAACCCGUGCGCGCAGUGAAAGCGAACGGA